AAUGUCAUUGUCAGCACAGAAGUGAUUUGUGGCUGCUGUUCCCUAGAGGAUGAUCCCUCUUUAUCUGAGUGACUUCACGGCCUAUUUUCACCGUCUUACCACAGCUUUUUCACUGUUCUUGUCAUUCCAACAGAAACUUCUGUGGAAGAUUGUCCUGUGCAGAUGGCAGCAGCGAUCCAGAAGAGAAGGAGGAGGCGGAGUGGUAGAGACAGACUGACCGAGGACAGAGAGGAGACGUUGAAACGUAGAGAAAGGAAGAAUAACAAGCAUUUUAACGGAGGAGAACUUCUGCAAUGACCCAGAAUCCAAAACCUUCUACAAAACAAAAGGACCUUGGUGAAGCUGGGUGUACUGGAGCUCCACUAAGUCGGGGCUCGCGUCUGCGGCUGGAUCCUUAAAGUAGAGUGUGGCAGUGUCUUCCCCCC